UACGUAGGGGGCUAGCGUUAUCCGGAAUUACUGGGCGUAAAGGGUGCGUAGGUGGUUUCUUAAGUCAGAGGUGAAAGGCUACGGCUCAACCGUAGUAAGCCUUUGAAACUGGGAAACUUGAGUGCAGGAGAGGAGAGUGGAAUUCCUAGUGUAGCGGUGAAAUGCGUAGAUAUUAGGAGGCACACCAGUUGCGAAGGCGGCUCUCUGGACUGUAACUGACACUGAGGCACGAAAGCGUGGGGAGCGAACGGG
rnacentral:rRNA from 1 species